rnacentral:rRNA from 1 species
UACGGAGGGAGCUAGCGUUGUUCGGAAUUACUGGGCGUAAAGCGUGCGUAGGCGGUUAUUCAAGUCAGAGGUGAAAGCCCAGGGCUCAACCCCGGAACUGCCUUUGAAACUAGAUAGCUAGAAUCUUGGAGAGGUCAGUGGAAUUCCGAGUGUAGCGGUGAAAUGCUUAGAUAUGUCAUAGAACACCAAUCGCGAAGGCAGUCCGCCAAACCAUUACUGACACUGAAACACGAAAGUGCGGGGAUCAAACAGG